AGGUGCACGCACUCGGUCUCACGCAUCUUUGCGCUCGUCUUGCAACCGAGAUAAUUCUCUUUUUCGCCGCGCGGAGCAUUAUUAAAAUUAACCCGAUAAUUCCCGACCGGAUUUCGGAGUCUUACGGCCCACGGAGCACCGCUGCGGGUCCAGAAGGUGUGUUGCAGUUCCCGAAGACGAAAGGUGUAGAAAUUAAACAGGAAGAGGAGAAGAGAAUAAUUCGAGAACUCUAAGAGCUAAAUUGAAGCGGACGUGAGAUUAUAGGAUACUAAAAGAAGGAAAUAAAAGAAGAGAAAGGGGACUUUUUGAAGAAGGACGAAGGAAUAUUGUUAUUCCGAUAUAAGGAAGGAAAGCCAGUGGUCUUCCUGAGCGUCGCGGAGAUCAUUAUUCCGGGUUUUUUGGAUUUGAAGAGCAAGAAGAGAUACGCUAUCUGAUAGAUAGCGAGCCCACGUUCUCCAUUGAUCCUUCCGCAAACAAGUAGAUUUUCCCCAGAAAGUCUGCCGCAUCUGCCGCAACGAGGCCAAAUCAUUACGCGUGAGUCUUCAUUUAGCCUCUCGUGGCAUCGUACCUCUUUAGUUUCUCUCUCCUUUUUUUCUUCUCCGGAAUUCAUUCGCCCCAAUAUCUCAGCCCGUUCUUGCAUCGCCUGAAAACAGAGAAGCAAAAGUUAAGAGGAAAGAAUUCCACUAGUCUUCCAGAAUCGGAAACAGAGUAGAACAUCAAAUGAGAGAGUCUGAACUCGCUUCGGAAUUUACACCUUUUCCCAUAUUUUCAGUCUGGAGCACUGAUAAGUCAGAAGACUAAUACCCCAAAGGUGACGGAGAAUCAUUGAACGGAAAGUUUGGACACGUUAACAACGGCUUGAAGAAAGGAGUAAUUAGAAAAAGAAGUCCAGUACAGAUUGUGAAGAGCCCUUUUCUAACUUUGGAGCGACGCGGUUCUUCUUCCUUUCCAGAGUUUGGGCUUCUUAUUUCCUGGCAUUGCGUUUCCACGCGAUUCGGAGUGCCUGUGAAAAAAACUCACGAAGAUUGAUAACCUUGCGGAUAUGGGGAAUUAGAAGAGAUUAUUUGAAAGCUGAAUUCGAGAAAUUGAUAUCCGCUCGGAGGAGCGAAUAAACGAAGACGCAAGUCGGUCGCGCGUUGCGAAGAGCCCUUUUUUUAGGGUUGCGGCGUUUAGCUGAUCUGCACUGAGUGGUCCCAAUUGAGGGUCAGGUCGAGCAGCAAGCGGAGUUCUGAUUGGCUGGCUCGUUAGUUCCCUGGGAGCUCAUUGGACCAGGAAUCAUCGUCGACGUCGCGCGCUUCCACACUCGGCUGAAGACCUGCACGUCGGCAGCAUCUCCGGGGAAUUGAGAGCACGCUCGUCUUCUCUGUGGUCGUUGAUCGAGGUUGCGUUCCCCUGGUGAAUCCGAAAUUUCGACAGAGGCUUCUUCAGGGUCCGCGGAAACCUCCAGGGCGACUUCUGACCGACGUAGGAGGAAAGGCGAGUCGGAGGAGAGCAAGAAGUGGAGGGAAAAGAGUCUGAGAUAACAGGUGGAACAGGAAAAGGGAAGAAAAAGAAAAACGGGCAGCCAAUUCGAGGGGAUGUUGAAGAGCUGAACUCCAAGCAGGAAGUUUGGGAGAAGGCGAUCGAGGUGAAGAAAGAAGGAGAGUGCACGGUGGACCGAUCUGGAAGAAGCAAUCCAAGAGGAAGUUGAAGAGUUUUCGCCAGUCGACGACAGGAAGGAAGAGGAAGACGAGCGGUCGCUCUUGAGUCUCGAGAAGUGCGGACGAAGUUGCGAGAGCCGAAUUUGUUCAGCUCUUCAAGGUGUUGAAGUCCUAUUCGGUACUUUGCGAGUUCCGCCAGAAUUGGGGACUCUUACGCUACGUCGCCAUCGGUUUGUGGGAGAAUAUAACGCAGGGUGUACUUCCUGAAUGUUGCUAAUAUACUAUCUACUUUUAUUCGAGAGACAUUGAAUCCGAAUAGCGGAGCCCAACGGUCGAGAACUUCUGCGAGAACUUCGUCGGCGAGGAGCCCCCUAAAAGGGGAACUUGAAGUCUGAGUCUCCCCUUUGUGAAACCUUUAAGCCGCCCAAAUUGAAACCUGAGAGAAAAGCCAUUCAGCAGCUCGUCAGAUUUUGUCGCUUCGAGUUCUUCAGGGACAGAGAAGAAGCGAAGCUUGAAGCUUCACCGCCGAAUUUCGACGUCGAGGGUUUUGAGGCGUGUCCUCAAUACUUCCCGCCAACUGAAUGGCCCAAAUUUACUGGCUACUCUUCUUUGAAAGACAUUAAAAUUGCCACCGUUUGAGCGAGAAGCUAAAAAAAAAAAGGUUCCGUUGUGCGAGGAGCUUCUUCGAGGAAUCGCGAAGUCGGAUUUUCGCCCGCGCGAAGUUUCGCGGCCUACUAGACUCGCAGGAUCUGGUUUCAUUCGAGUGUUGCCGCAACCAAGUCUCUCCUAGGGACUUCCACUUAUCAAGAAAAAUAUCCCUAGAGGUGUGUCGACCACGUUUCGUUCGCCAUGGAGCGAAGGAUUCUGAAAAUGUGGUGACGACGUGUUCGGAGGUGACCUCCUCUGACCAAGACACUAACCAGUGUGUGAGUCAUAGUAAUAGAGUAUAGUAUUUGCAUCAAUAGUUGCCUUCUAGGCGGCCAUCUUGACGUUGCGAGUGCCGCACCGAAGAAUACCCGGAAAUACGAGCCGGUGGAGUUUCGUGGCGAUUUUGAAGGAAGUCAUAAUCAAAAAACUGGAUUACGGUAGACUUACGUGUGUACGAACAACGUAAGAGUUCGAAACAGUCCAAAGAACCUGGAAAUACAACCUUUGAAACAUCAACUAGAAACCUGAGCAUCAAUUCCCGAGAAUCUCGAAGAUCUUCAGCAGCAGAUUGAGACCGCGAAGGAAGUUUCGCAUUAGUCGACGCCAUCUUGGAAUAUCGCCGAAGAAGUCCGCGUCCUUGCCCAGUCUAAGAGGAGCCUAGGUCACCUCGAGAAUUCUGAAAGAUACUCGAAAAGGAUCCAGAAAGGUUGCUAUACUGGUGGAAAAUCUUCUCCGAGUUUAUUUGCGCCCUUGAAAACAUUUCUAGGGCUUCCAAACUCAUCCACCCUAGGUGCCGCCAUUUUGAAAUAUCACUGGAGAGGUAUCAACAAUUAUUCCGGAUCAUUUGCGAGAUUUUAUAGACCUCCAGCGUCGUUCGCACGGGGGGCCGCCAUCUUGGAGCAUCGCCGAAGGAGUCCGCGUCCUUGAGCGGUCGAAGAGGAAAUCAGACGUCCAGGUUGAAACUACUUGGAGAAUUUCGAUAGUUACCCCGGACAUAGCCAAAAGGGGCGUAUUAUUAAGGAAGAAUCUUUUGUAGCGAUCCUUCUGCUGUCGAGAGAGAAUUUUCGAGACCGCCGAGCUCCGCACCGAACGCCGCCAUCUUGGGGCGAAGAAGUCAACGUCUCAGGGUGGACCAAGAGGAGUAGAAUCCAAAAGACCAGCCAAAAAAGGGCCCAAAAGGGCGCCUUAUCGUCGGAGUAGUCGAAAACCUCCUAGA